UUUGUUAGUAUGUUCUAAUGUGAAAAGUAUGUAUCACAUUUGUGCAUAUGAUGUCUGUUAGUAUUUGCAUGAACAUUGGCGUGGGAUAUGAUAUGCAACGGGAGAAGUGUGAUUUUGGCAGUAUUACUGCAUCUUUUGGCGGAUUACCUCAAUUUUUUGUUUGGCAGCUCAGCUGCACUUAUAUGAGUGACAUAUCGCUACGACCUGGUGUGAUUGGAUAGAUGGACUUUUGUGUUCCUAAUUGGUGUUAUUUGUUGGACG
rnacentral:lncRNA from 1 species